CUUUGCUGUGCAAAUCCCGAAAUCCCUAAAAACGGGAUUUGUGAUAAUCCCGAAAUCCCGAAGAACGGGAUUUUGCAUGUUUGAUGGAAUGAAGCUGUUUUUGUAUAAAAAUAUUGUUUUUGAUGAAAAUUUUAUUUAGUUGUGAUAAUCCCGAAAUCCCGAAGAGCGGGAUUUUGCAUGUUUGAUGGAAUGAAGCUGUUUUUGUAUAAAAAUAUUGUUUUUGAUGAAAAUUUUAUUUUCUUGUGAUAAUCCCGAAAUCCCGAAGAACGGGAUUUUGCAUGUUUGAUGGAAUGAAGGUAUUUUUGCAUAAAAAUAAUGUUUUUGAUGAAAAUUUUAUUUUCUUGUGAUAAUCCCGAAAUCCCGAAGAACGGGAUUUUGCUUGUUUGAUGGAAUGAUGCUGUUUUUGCAUAAAAAUAAUGUUUUUGAUGCAAAUUUUAUUUUCUUGUGAUAAUCCCGAAAUCCCGAAGAACGGGAUUUUGCAUGUUUGAUGGAAUGAUGGUGUUUUUGCAUA